UGGGGAAUUUUGGACAAUGGGCGAAAGCCUGAUCCAGCAAUGCCGCGUGUGUGAAGAAGGCCUUCGGGUUGUAAAGCACUUUUGUCCGGAAAGAAAUCCUUGGCUCUAAUACAGUCGGGGGAUGACGGUACCGGAAGAAUAAGCACCGGCUAACUACGUGCCAGCAGCCGCGGUAAUACGUAGGGUGCAAGCGUUAAUCGGAAUUACUGGGCGUAAAGCGUGCGCAGGCGGUUUGCUAAGACCGAUGUGAAAUCCCCGGGCUCAACCUGGGAACUGCAUUGGUGACUGGCAGGCUAGAGUAUGGCAGAGGGGGGUAGAAUUCCACGUGUAGCAGUGAAAUGCGUAGAGAUGUGGAGGAAUACCGAUGGCGAAGGCAGCCCCCUGGGCCAAUACUGACGCUCAUGCACGAAAGCGUGGGGGAGCAAAACAGGAUUAGAUACCCUGGUAGUCCACGCCCUAAACGAUGUCAACUAGUUGUUGGGGACUUCAUUUUCCUUAGUAACGUAGCUAACGCGUGAAGUUGACCGCCUGGGGAGUACGGUCGCAAGAUUAAAACUCAAAUGAAUUGACGGGGUCAUAGCUGUUUCCU
rnacentral:rRNA from 1 species